rnacentral:misc_RNA from 1 species
UCUGCGAGUUGCCGGGAGAGUAAGUUAUUGCCAGGGUUUUUAUUUUAUACUUUAAACCUUGAAUUUAUUUUUUAAAUGUUUAUAUUAUUUGAAUAAAACAUUCAAAUAAUAUAAAAAAUAAUAUAUAUAUUGACAUGGAUUAAACAAAGAUAUAUAUUAUUCUAUGUUGUAUAAACAAAUUGGCAAAAUAGAGAUGGAAGAUAAAAAUAUGGUCAAAGUAAUAAGAGUCUAUGGUGAAUGCCUAGGAA